UUCGGAGAUGCCCAAAGCUGCCCCGGGGCCCCAGGAGCCCCUGGCACCCCAGCGUUUGCUUGGCCCUGAAGCCCUGCGGGGCCUGCCAGUGCUGGGGAGCCCCGGGGACAGACACGAAGGACAGCGGUCAGCCUGUGUAGGGAGAGUGACGGGACUCCGUCCUUUUUUCUGGCCACAGGAGGAUGCCCUGGGCCAUGCCAGGACAGGGUGUCUCUUCUCCUCAGCCCCGGGGGAAGGCGAGGCCUGAGGAAGGCCCUGGGGGCUGGGCUCAGCAUGGGCGGUGUGACCGAGGGCAGAGCCCUCCCUCCUGCCAGGUGCCGGCCUGGCCGACACCAGCAGCUCCCACCACACAGCUCCUCCUGCCCAGGGCUGUGGCUGGCAGCACAGACAGACCCACAUUUUGGGAAAGACUUGCUGUUCCAGAGCAAACCCACGGCAGCUCCUCUCCUGCCCCCUCUCCUCCCCUCCUGUCAUGUCCCUUCCCCUCAACCCCCUUCCCUUCCCUCUCUCCCUGAGCAGGCCCAGACCCCAUGAGUGGACAGAGGGACGGCAGAGCUGUGCACACACCUUGAGCUGCUGAGAGAACAGCUCCAGGGGCAAUGGCCCUUCUUGAAGGCCAUCUCUCCGCAGGUCCAGUAUCCCGGCUGGCUGAGGAACGAGCUGCGGUCAGGGGCGUGCUCCCCCCAUGUGCAGGCAGAUCCCUCAGGACGAAGGAGGCAGGCAGGCAGGAGCCAGCUCGUCCAGGCAGGCCCAGCGCUGCAUUCCCAUCGUCUGAAGGCUGCAAGAGAGCGCUGCGGGCACUCGGCACUGGAGGCACUUGGACUCCCCACCCUCCAGCCCAGCCCAGGAGAAGGGAGGUCAGCAAGAGGUGGAGAAAGGCUGAAAACCUUCUCCCAGCGGAGGAGAUGGCAGCAGCAGCCCAGCUGGAGAGACUCCAGCCUGACCACCUUUCCCCAUGAGCAGUCCGGGUCCUCAGAAGGCUGGAGCCACGUCAAGCAUGGAGGAACAUCUUCAAGCACAUCACUGAGAACAACAGGCAGCAUCAAGAGCAGCAGAGGCAGCUCCCCUGCACUAGAUGCUGGUAACCGCAGCAGAGGGGAAGUUGCUGGGAGCGGCAGCUGUAGCAGUGGCUGUUAGCAGAGGGGCUGGGAGGCCCCUUUACAAAAUGAAGAGCUCUGGGGCUGUUGCCAGCUGGACUGACUGAUCUGUGCCUGGUGAUGGAUCCAUCGAAAGGGAUUACACACACCCUAUGAGUGAUCCCAGAACUGCUGGAGAUGCAGCUGAACCAAAACGUCUGG